rnacentral:lncRNA from 1 species
UUGAUUCAGACCAAAAUGGGUUUCUGAAAGCUGAAAAUGGUUUGCUAUCAAGUAUAGAAGUUGGGCUCAUAACAACCUCAGUAUUAUCAGAAAAGGCUUUUAAAGUAAAACCAGUGAACAACCUAGGAAAUGAGGUGGGCUUCUUUUGCUGCUUGUUGUCUGUGGGACUUGGAGGAGUAGCGCCACAGUCUGCCAUUAUUAAAAUCUAAACCUUUGCUUUCUGAUUCUUGCUCUUGAUCUCUUUUAGAGCAUCAAUUGAAAAUUUGGUAGUAUUAUUCUUGCCCUGUCAACCAUGGCAAAGAAAAAUUUUAAAGAAAAAUCCAAGCAUUACAUGGAGAAGAACAAUUUAACAAAGGAAAAAGAGAGAGACUCGCCUGAAAAUAUUGGGAUUUUACCAAGAAACUGUUGUUGAUUGAAAGAAUUAUCCUUUCAAGGCAACUUUAAGCUUCAAAAAUAAGAAAAAAAAGGAAUUUUCUUUUUCUCCUCUUUUGAGGUUAAUAUAAGCGAAUGAGGAAAACAAGGGCAAUAUCAACAGAGUCAAAACCACCAUCUUUACAAAACCCAGAAACCAGAAAACAAAACCGAAGGCCCCAUGGAACACCUCUCCUUGUCUCCGCUACAACUCUGUGGCCUCCAUUUCUGAACAGUUAAUUACAAACCCAUGACAAAAAAAAGAACAAUAAAGAAGAAGAAAGAUUUCGCUUUAAUCUCCCUUAUUUCUCGGCUAUUGCUACCUCAAUUUCUCAGUAAGAAUCUAUCUGGAGAGACUUCAGAACAGACAUGCAUAGAGGCCCUCACGGGUCAUCAUCAUAGAGACCAGACGUGCAAUGAAUCAGAAGAAAGAAGGUUUUGUAUUUUUGUUUCCUAUAAUAUAAUAAAGCUUUCUUUUUGGGCUUGGCUUUUGCUUCCUCCUUUUCUUUUUUUCUACCUUCCAC